ensembl:miRNA
UUCCAUACUUGCACUUUACUGUUUUGAGUGCAUAAAUACAGUCAGGCAAGUAUGGCU